CCUACGGGGAGCAGCAGUAGGGAAUAUUGCUCAAUGGGGGAAACCCUGAAGCAGCAACGCCGCGUGGUGGAUGAAGGUUUUAGGAUUGGAAACUCCUUUUGUUAGAGAAGAUUAUGACGGUAUCUAACGAAUAAGCUCUGGCUAACUUCGUGCCAGCAGCCGCGGUAAUACGGAGGGUGCCAGCGUUACUCGGAAUCACUGGGCGUAAAGAGUGCGUAGGCGGGGUAAUAAGUCAGAUGUGAAAUCCUGUAGCUUAACUAUAGAACUGCAUUUGAAACUGUUACUCUGGAGUGUGGGAGAGGUAGGUGGAAUUCGUGGUGUAGGGGUAAAAUGCGUAGAGAUCAAGAGGAAUACUCAUUGCGAAGGCGACCUACUGGAACAUUACUGACGCUGAUGCACGAAAGCGUGGGGAGCAAACAGGAUUAGAUACCCGAGUAGUC
rnacentral:rRNA from 1 species